rnacentral:rRNA from 1 species
CCUACGGGAGGCAGCAGUGGGGAAUAUUGGACAAUGGGGGGAACCCUGAUCCAGCGACGCCGCGUGAGUGAAGAAGGAUUUCGGUAUGUAAAGCUCUAUCAGCAGGGAAGAAAAUGACGGUACCUGACUAAGAAGCCCCGGCUAACUACGUGCCAGCAGCAGCGGUAAUACGUAGGGGGCAAGCGUUAUCCGGAAUUACUGGGUGUAAAGGGAGCGUAGUCGGUGCAGCAAGUCUGAUGUGAAAGGUCGGGGCCCAACCCCAGGACUGCAUUUGAAACUGUUGAACUGGAGUACAGGAGAGGUAAGCGGAAUUCCUAGUGUAGCGGUGAAAUGCAUAGAUAUUAGGAGGAACACCAGUGGCGAAGGCGGCUUACUGGACUGUAACUGACGUUGAGGCUCGAAAGCGUGGGGAGCGAACAGGAUUAGAUACCCGAGUAGUC